AGAGUUUGAUCCUGGCUCAGGAUGAACGCUGGCGGCGUGCUUAACACAUGCAAGUCGAACGAUGAUGCCCACUUGUGGGUGGAUUAGUGGCGAACGGGUGAGUAACACGUGAGUAACCUGCCCUUGACUCUGGGAUAAGCCUGGGAAACUGGGUCUAAUACCGGAUAUGACCUUCCAUCGCAUGGUGGUUGGUGGAAAGCUUUUGUGGUUUUGGAUGGACUCGCGGCCUAUCAGCUUGUUGGUGGGGUAAUGGCCUACCAAGGCGACGACGGGUAGCCGGCCUGAGAGGGUGACCGGCCACACUGGGACUGAGACACGGCCCAGACUCCUACGGGAGGCAGCAGUGGGGAAUAUUGCACAAUGGGCGCAAGCCUGAUGCAGCGACGCCGCGUGAGGGAUGACGGCCUUCGGGUUGUAAACCUCUUUCAGUAGGGAAGAAGCGAAAGUGACGGUACCUGCAGAAGAAGCGCCGGCUAACUACGUGCCAGCAGCCGCGGUAAUACGUAGGGCGCAAGCGUUAUCCGGAAUUAUUGGGCGUAAAGAGCUCGUAGGCGGUUUGUCGCGUCUGCCGUGAAAGUCCGGGGCUCAACUCCGGAUCUGCGGUGGGUACGGGCAGACUAGAGUGAUGUAGGGGAGACUGGAAUUCCUGGUGUAGCG
rnacentral:rRNA from 1 species